rnacentral:misc_RNA from 1 species
AAGUGCUUGCAUUUAGCGGGCGCAGCGACAGCACGCGUACAACAUUCACGCCCCUUCUGCUCUUGUAUUUUUGUCGCUCGUGUACCGCACACCGUCAUGUACAGGGUGGGCUGCGGGCCGUCGCCUCUCCUGCACAGCCGGUUCCUCGGCAGUGACACCGCGCUGCGGAUGUUACUGCAACACGCGGAGCACGUCACCGGCGCACUGAGACCUUGUCGGAGUGUCUCCACACCAGCUUCCCACCACUUUGCCGCGACAUGCUUCCACAGCGCCGCCGCCAUGGCAAGGCGCCACGCCGGAAGCGCAAGCAGGAGACCCCUUCCUCCACUGCCCUCGCUUGGCGGUCCUGCAGCAGGCCGCACCGGCAGCUUUCUCCCACCACCACCACCGCUAUCUUCCGCACGUCUCACGCCGGCCCACGGUGGAGGCACGAGCCACAGCGCAAGCAUAUACAUGCUCUCGCCACAGGAGGUCGCCAACACCUUUGUGCUCUACGUACCGACCUAUUACGUCUCUUUCCAGUGUGUCGCGUCGUUGCUGCCGGAUGCAAUACGCGAGGAGAUCACGGGCCGCGGUCGCCUCGUCAACUUCUUCAAAAAGUUUCCUUUUAUCUUUGACGUCCUCGUCGUCGAUUCCGGCCGCAUCAACGUGCGGCUGCACCCCGACCUGAUACAUCCGCAGCGCGGCGUGGCAGAUGACAAGUACAUGAUGUCAGACGUUGGCCAGACAACCAGCUACGUGGUGAAGCCGGAGUUCAUCGUCUGCGCCGAGAACAUCGAGUCCAAUGGUAUGCAGCGAGUGCUCCUCACGCCACCUGCCCCGCCGCCGGCCAUGCGCGUGCGGCUGGAGGAGCGAGUUCCAGUCCUGGACCGCCUGCGCAGUCUCGUGCCGGCGGAGUUCACCGCCAUAGAUGCACUGGAGGAGAGCAUUUCGGAGGAUAUAUUGUUUCACCCGUACUUCAACUGCCAAGGCGGCCUCUUCUCCAUUGCCGGCAAAAUGCCAGAGGAGUUCCAGGUCGUCGACGGACGCAUCCGGCGCCGGCCACCCCACCUUGCCCCUCUGGCGCUCGACGAGUUCACGUUGGACACCUCCCCCCUUCCAGAGGUGGCAGCGCUCAUCAAGCGUCAUGUUUGUGACAGCGACAUCCCUCACUGGGUCAGCAUUACCCCGCUGUAUGAGCAGCUCACCCGCGCACAGAAGCAGGAGAUCAAGCGGCGAUACCGCAGCUUUGCCGGCUUUUUGCGUGCUCACGGCCGGUCACUUGCGGUGUCGACGGACAUGCUUCAGGUGUCCAUGUGGAUUUUCGUGUCUUCGCCGUCGCCGCCGACCUCCGCCAGCGCGAACGCGGCCUCCGCAGGCGCGGAUGAUCAGGCUGUUACUGCGAGGGACUCCAGUGCUGCAACGCCCUCAGUAGCGUCGUCGUCGUCACAGCAAGGGGCACCAUCGGAGCCGCCUGUGUCGCCAGCGGCUGCGGCGGGGCAGUCGGGUGCGACUUCUGCGCCGCCCACACCCGUCGUGUACACCCGAGAGCAGAUUCUCAACGCCUGGUACGAUCGCUUUCCGCCAUACAAGACGCUCAACCUGCGCGACGCGAUGCAGCUGCUGCCUGUUGAGAUGCGCGCCUCCGGCCUUCCCACCAAGAUCGCGCCGUGGCUCGCCACCCACCCUCACUACUUCUCCGUCGACUUCGCGGAGGAGGAGGAUCCCACUAAGGUGCUGAUCCGCCGCGCCUCGGAGCGGCAGCCGCUGGACCUCGUCGCCGCCCUCUACGCCAAGAUACCUGACAAGGACACGCCGUGCCCAUCAGCCGAGGUGCUACACAAGCUGGACCCGUCGGUGCGCCGCGUUAUAGAAGGCAUCGGCCUUGCUCAACUGGGGCGCGUGCUGCCACAGUGGCUGCUGAUCGAAAAGUGCCGAGGUGGUGGGGGCGCCGUGGUGGGUGGACCGCCCCAGCAAGAGGCGUUCACAAUUCGGCGGCUGCAGGAUAUGGAGGCGCUCGAGAAGGCGCAGCGGCGCGACAGCAAAAUUGUGAGGAAAAGAGAAGUGGUGAAGGUCGACGCUGACGUGGCGGGGCUGGAGGAGUCGGUGACCAAGACUUGACAAGCACGCAAUGUAGCGCGUUGGAGGCGGGAACGGGCGUGGCACAGAGAUGGACAUGCGAUGAGGCGGCGCGAGCCCUCCUGCCAAGUAGUAGCGGGGUGCUGCGCGCACGAUAAGAUUCCCCCCUCCCCCAACCCUGGCUCUGAGCAAGCGACAAUGCUGGUCGCCUUCCUGCCUCUCUUGCGUAGGGCCGCGUUGCGCCGCGCGCCGACGUGUGCGUACACGCUCGUGCCUAUGUGUUGGAUGCGUUG